rnacentral:rRNA from 1 species
AGAUUGAACGCUGGCGGCAUGCCUUACACAUGCAAGUCGAACGGCAGCACGGGAGCAAUCCUGGUGGCGAGUGGCGAACGGGUGAGUAAUAUAUCGGAACGUGCCCAGUCGUGGGGGAUAACGCAGCGAAAGCUGUGCUAAUACCGCAUACGAUCUAUGGAUGAAAGCGGGGGAUCGCAAGACCUCGCGCGAUUGGAGCGGCCGAUAUCAGAUUAGCUAGUUGGUGGGUAAAGCCUACCAAGGCGACGAUCUGUAGCUGGUCUGAGAGGACGACCAGCCACACUGGAACUGAGACACGGUCCAGACUCCUACGGGAGGCAGCAGUAGGGGAAUUUUGGGACAACGGGCGCAAGCCUGAUCCAGCAAUGCCGCGUGCAGGAUGAAGGCCUUCGGGUUGUAAACGUGACGUUUUGUACGGAACGAAACGGUUCUACUACUAAUACGAGGGCUAAUGAACGGUACGUAAGAAUUAAGCAACCGGACUAACGUACGU